UCCUUCAACACUGAUUCUUCCGGGGUGUUGGGCUCUAGCUCUUCUAGUUUCUUUGAGGUUUACUGCUGAGUAAAUGAAACCGAAUUAGAAUACUAUGCCCAAUGUGCGUUUGCGUUUGACUUAUCUAUGCACCUCUCGGUGAUUGGAGUGGCGAAAUUACAAAGACCAGCGGCACUUAUCUCUUGCUAUCUUGUGCCAUUUACCCGGAUCCCGAGAUGUCAAAGCGCGUGAUAUGUGAACUUGACAGCUUAGAGUCAUGGGGUUUUCCGGGGGUGAAUUGCAAAGUUAUUGUGGACCAAAUAAACAAUAAAUACGAAUGAAUACUGGCUGACAAAGCAAACUUAUAUUAAUUAGCACAAGGUAAACUUUAAGAGUGUGCAAAGAAAGGAUGAUGUCUGGGUAUUUUUGCUACUUGAUACAGGAUAAAGAGGAUUUUUAAGGAAAUUUCCAGCUUUUCAAGAUUUGCAUGCGUAGUUGUUCAGAUGUACAAACUUUGUAGUUAAAACAAAUAAAUGAUCUCAGAUUUGUGACGUGACUUCAAACACUUUACGUUUAGUAUGUUUUGUGGGUAGUGUUAGUGUUUCUCCGCCGUACAAUGGUGGAGCGGUUCAUCAAAAAGAAAUUUAAUAAAGUGUUGGAAAAAUGUUGAAAAGAUAAAGCGUCAUAACCAAACAAUGGGAAAACGCGACGACAGGCUGCUUUUACUUGUCACUUUUAUUUGUAAUUCAGCUUUUCUGAGUACAAAUCCACAUUGAAAUCGACUCACAAAUCUAAAUGUUAUUGUUUCGUCGCGUUUCAUUCAAGACGGAUUUAUCGGGGAGGUCCGCUUUGAGAUGAGACUGGCAAAUCAGGUGGCGUCAUGGUCGGAGACCCAGAUGUCUUAGCGGUCGCCCAUGAAAGACUCUUUACGGCAUGACUUUCGUGGCCAAAAAAGCAAGCACUGGAAAUUCGUGCCUUGAUAAGUGCGCAGUUCCCUUUUUGUUCAACAAUAGAGGAAUACAGGGCGUCACUACAAACCACCAUGUUGUUUUUGGGUGCAUGGUCGUGAUCACGUGACGGGGUGGUCCAACUAAGGCGCCAGGAUUCCUAAUAACUCUGCCUCUACUAUGUUCUGCCGCGAUGUAUGCAAUGCUGUAUACAGUAUAAAUUUGUAAAUUGUUA